GAUGAACGCUGGCGGCGUGCCUAAUACAUGCAAGUCGAGCGAACGGACGAGAAGCUUGCUUCUCUGAUGUUAGCGGCGGACGGGUGAGUAACACGUGGAUAACCUACCUAUAAGACUGGGAUAACUUCGGGAAACCGGAGCUAAUACCGGAUAAUAUUUUGAACCGCAGGGUUCAAAAGUGAAAGACGGUCUUGCUGUCACUUAUAGAUGGAUCCGCGCUGCAUUAGCUAGUUGGUAAGGUAACGGCUUACCAAGGCAACGAUGCAUAGCCGACCUGAGAGGGUGAUCGGCCACACUGGGACUGAGACACGGUCCAGACUCCUACGGGAGGCAGCAGUAGGGAAUCUUCCGCAAAGGGCGAAAGCCUGACGGAGCAACGCCGCGUGAGUGAUGAAGGUCUUCGGAUCGUAAAACUCUGUUAUUAGGGAAGAACAUAUGUGUAAGUAACUGUGCACAUCUUGACGGUACCUGAUCAGAAAGCCCCGGCUAACUACGUG
rnacentral:rRNA from 1 species